ensembl:lncRNA
GUAUGGUCCUGAGAACAUUAGCCUACCUACAGGUUGGCCACUUGGCCCAUCUAAGAAGACUCCUCCCUCAACAAGCUAUUCAGAAACCUCUGUUCAAGGACACGUUUGAAUGAAACCAUGUAACAUAUAGACAAACCCAGCAGGUGAAGGUGGAGCGCAAGCUUGGCUCUGAGUACCUGGGUGCUGCUGAGCACACAGCCUGCAGAAGCAGCGGAGGCAGUGCGACUGAGAGAGAGAGAGAGAGAGAGAGAGAGAGAACCAGCCCACCACCUGCAGCCUCGCACACACAGGCAUGAAGAAACACCUUCCUGGAUCACAGACGCACCUGCACGCACAUCCCACCUGACCUCGUGACCUCUGAGCUCUCAACGGCAAAGGCACAAGAGAAGAAGGCCGAUGAUGACAAGGACAGAAAAUGAGAAGACGGGCAGAGUCUUUCAGCGAGACAGAUAGAAGAGAGAGUGCGACGACAACUGAGAAUGACCUGGAGUGCCAGUCCAACUUUAAUUCACCUAAAUUGUCAUGUGUUACACAAAGCUCAUAUUGUGUAGUGCUGGCUCACUGCACCACCCCAUAUCCGAGAUCAUGAAAGCCCUCAUUUGCCCCAACCCCCCCAACCCCCAACAAAAAAACC